rnacentral:lncRNA from 1 species
GUCAAGAAUAUCACAAAAAUAUGUCACAAUCAAGAUCUUUAACGAGAGUCCUCCAAUCAGGAGGCGUCUGUGACAGCCGCUGUUUUCUCAUAGAACAGAAUCCACACCCGGGACUCAACCCAAAUUAUUUCUCAUCAGGGGGGACUUGUCCCCAUCUCCGUGUCCCUGGGGGAGGGCAGCCAUUUCCGAGUGUCUCUUCAGGGACAGCAGAUCCACUGGACAAGGGUCCGAAAAUGGUUUCAGCACCUGUGUCAGAAGCCCUCUCUGAGUAUUGUGGGGAGAACAAAUCGUAGGAACGAGAAGGAGGCCGGGAGAUGGAUUUCCCACUCUUCGGUGAAAAUCAGCCUUGAAGAAGGUCUGCUCCAGAGCCAGCUGAUGAAGAAAGAACGUGAUUGGAAAACCACAACUCGGCCACCAUCAUGGUAAUGAUUGAUUUUGGAAAGAGUCAUCAGUAGAUGCUAAAACUAGUGGGUGAAAAUUUCAUGGGUAACAGAAAUUUUACAUGGUCUCCAAGAACCUCCUCACAGGAUACUAAUUACGAAGGGUGAAGUCUUAACUUUCAAGUGAAGAAAGCUGGCAGACACCACCUUAAUCGAUAUCAGCAUCUUCCAGGCAUGGACAGAUAGACUUCAUGGCCUCCCGACAUGCAGCACCAAGAAGGAUGCAAUGUCACUUCUGCAGAUUUCCUGCCUGGAAUGCAAACUCUGAGUCCAGCCAUCGGGAAACAUCAGGCAAACUCCAACUGAAGUUAUUCUGCCUGGCCUGAGAGAAAGGCCAGAAAGACUGAGGAAUGUUCCAGAUGAAGGAGACUAAAGAGAUAAAAAAGACGUGACAACUGACUGCAAUGCAUAGUUCAGUAUUUUCUUUGGUACACAAGCCUUUAUUGGGACACUUGGUAAAAUGGGAGUCAGGUCAGCAGAUUUGAUAGUAACAUUGUAUCCAGGCAGUCCUCCUGGUUUUGAGGAUUGUGCUGUCUUGAGAAAGAGAAUGCCUUUGUUUUCAGGAAAUACAUACUGAAGUAUUUAGGGGCACCAGGAGUGUUACGUCCUGGGUGUCAGAUCUUUUUAAAUUUUCACAUCAAUUUACUUUUAUCCCUGUUUUCCAGAUGAUAAAACUGAGGCUCAGAGCCAUGAGACGCGAGCCGGGGCGGAGGCAGCUCUGCUUGGUGCCUCUUCUCUUGCUGGUUUGUGCAUCCACGCCUUCC